rnacentral:tRNA from 1 species
GAACUUAGGUUAUACAAACCCGAAGCCUUCAAAGCCUCAAAAAAGAGCACAACUCUCUUAGUGCCUGCACUAAAGCCUG